CCAAUAGCGUAUAUUAAAGUUGUUGCAGUUAAAAAGCUCGUAGUUGAAUUUCGGGGUCAGUAGGUCGGUCGUGCCACUGGUAUGAACUGGUUUUACUGAUUCCUCCCUCUUGAAGAACUGUAAUGCCAUUAAUUUGGUGUUGCAGGGAAUCAGGACUGUUACUUUGAAAAAAUUAGAGUGUUUAAAGCAGGCUUUAGCUUGAAUACAUUAGCAUGGAAUAAUGAAAUAGGACGUUUGAUCCUAUUUUGUUGGUUUCAAGGAUUGACGUAAUGACUAAUAGGGAUAGUUGGGGGCAUUAGUAUUCAAUUGUCAGAGGUGAAAUUCUUGGAUUUAUUGAAGACUAACUACUGCGAAAGCAUUUGCCAAGGAUGUUUUCAUUAAUCAAGAACGAAAGUUAGGGGAUCGAAGACGAUCAGAUACCGUCGUAGUCUUAACCAUAAACUAUGCCGACUAGGGAUCGGAUGAUGUUAAUUUUUUAAUGACUCAUUCGGCGCCUUACG
rnacentral:rRNA from 1 species